UAAAGCUCUCUGCCCAGUGGGACUGCAUUACAUGAAGCUCAUUCCGCUAGACAGGAUGAACGGUGCCAUAAAGCCGGGUCAUUCCACUAGACAGGAUGAACGGUGCCAUAAAGCCGGGUCAUUCCACUAGACAGGAUGAACGGUGCCAUAAAGCCGGGUCAUUCCACUAGACAGGAUGAACGGUGCCAUAAAGCCGGGUCAUUCCUCUAGACAGGAUGAACGGUGCCAUAAAGCCAGGUCAUUCCACUAGACAGGAUGAACGGUGCCAUAAAGCCAGGUCAUUCCACUAGACAGGAUGAACGGUGCCAUAAAGCCAGGUCAUUCCACUAGACAGGAUGAACGGUGCCAUAAAGCCAGGUCAUUCCACUAGACAGGAUGAACGGUGCCAUAAAGCCAGGUCAUUCCACUAGACAGGAUGAACGGUGCCAUAAAGCCAGGUCAUUCCACUAGACAGGAUGAACGGUGCCAUAAAGCCGGGUCAUUCCACUAGACAGGAUGAACGGUGUUAUAAAGCCGGGUCAUUCCACUAGACAGGAUGAACGGUGCCAUAAAGCCAGGUCAUUCCACUAGACAGGAUGAACGGUGCCAUAAAGCCGGGUCAUUCCACUAGACAGGAUGAACGGUGCCAUAAAGCCGGGUCAUUCCACUAGACAGGAUGAACGGUGCCAUAAAGCCGGGUCAUUCCACUAGACAGGAUGAACGGUGCCAUAAAGCCGGGUCAUUCCUCUAGACAGGAUGAACGGUGCCAUAAAGCCAGGUCAUUCCACUAGACAGGAUGAACGGUGCCAUAAAGCCAGGUCAUUCCACUAGACAGGAUGAACGGUGCCAUAAAGCCAGGUCAUUCCACUAGACAGGAUGAACGGUGCCAUAAAGCCAGGUCAUUCCACUAGACAGGAUGAACGGUGCCAUAAAGCCAGGUCAUUCCACUAGACAGGAUGAACGGUGCCAUAAAGCCAGGUCAUUCCACUAGACAGGAUGAACGGUGCCAUAAAGCCGGGUCAUUCCACUAGACAGGAUGAACGGUGUUAUAAAGCCGGGUCAUUCCACUAGACAGGAUGAACGGUGCCAUAAAGCCGGGUCAUUCCACUAGACAGGAUGAACGGUGCCAUAAAGCCGGGUCAUUCCACUAGACAGGAUGAACGGUGUUAUAAAGCCGGGUCAUUCCACUAGACAGGAUGAACGGUGCCAUAAAGCCGGGUCAUUCCACUAGACAGGAUGAACGGUGUUAUAAAGCCGGGUCAUUCCACUAGACAGGAUGAACGGUGCCAUAAAGCCGGGUCAUUCCACUAGACAGGAUGAACGGUGUUAUAAAGCCGGGUCAUUCCACUAGACAGGAUGAACGGUGCCAUAAAGCCGGGUCAUUCCACUAGACAGGAUGAACGGUGUUAUAAAGCCGGGUCAUUCCACUAGACAGGAUGAACGGUGCCAUAAAGCCGGGUCAUUCCACUAGACAGGAUGAACGGUGUUAUAAAGCCGGGUCAUUCCACUAGACAGGAUGAACGGUGCCAUAAAGCCGGGUCAUUCCACUAGACAGGAUGAACGGUGUUAUAAAGCCGGGUCAUUCCACUAGACAGGAUGAACGGUGUUAUAAAGCCGGGUCAUUCCACUAGACAGGAUGAACGGUGUUAUAAAGCCGGGUCAUUCCACUAGACAGGAUGAACGGUGCCAUAAACCCGGGUCAUUCCACUAGACAGGAUGAA